UGGACUGCGCACCAAUGGAGCAGACUCCUCCUCUCGGCAGAGGACCUACUGACUCAACACUUCCAGUUGCUGUCUUCUGACCUGUUCCUCAGAGAUAGGCCUUAUUUUGUCACUGCCGUUGUGUGGAUCACACACCAUAGUCAGUGGCUCUGUGUGAAUGAAACCACGGAAAACCGAGAAAUCACAGUAAGAUGUACAAAUCCAUGUUUUGUUUAUCACAGCCCAAACACAGGUAGCAGAUCAGGCCAAUUGACUCCCAUUUUUCCACAGGCAAUAAACUGGUAAACAGCCAUGAUUUUUGGGCAAUGACUCCAUGAAUCUAAUUUUUAAUUAAAUGCAAAAACAUACUUAUUGCAUGGUAAAAUCAGGAGGAGUGCAGCUUUUUCUCGCUUGAUGUUGCAGGAUCACUGGUUAUAUUUCAGGAAAAUGUGUACCUUCUAUAGCCUUGGAUUUUAAGCACAACUAAAUGACAUUCAAUGAAUUAAAUGACAUGCAAACUUCUACGACAGCGUAUUUUGGCCGGACCUCCUUCUGUGCGUGUUCCGUGCACCUUGCUUUAACUAUGGCAAUAAGGGUAGCCUUGCAGGUCUAGAGCGUGACUGUCCACGCUCCCAGGACGUCGGCUCAGGAGUUCUGGCUGAAUAAA
rnacentral:lncRNA from 1 species